CACCAGGCUAAGGAGCCGGCAUCAGACACAACCUCAGUCCACAACGCCUAGUCUCACCACACCCCCAAGGGUCAUCAGCAGUGAUAAAUCUUGAACAUAAGCGACAGCUUGACUCAGUCAGAGAAAAGAGGGCCGGCCAACCCGGUGCCAGCCGCCGCGGCUACCCCGUGGGGCCCAAGUUGAAGAUCAUCGGCGUUAAGCGUGAUUAAAGUCCAUUUAGAUUAAGAUCAAAUUAAUACUCAGUAGUUUAAAGCUCGCCAUUAAGAAGACCACAAACGAAAGUUAUCUUAACCCAAACACUUGAAUACACGACAGCUGGGAAACAAACUAGGAUCAGAUACCCUACUAUGCCCAGCCGUAAACAAUUAACUUACAUCCAUAAGCGCCAGGGAACUACGAGCCACGCUUAAAACCCAAAGGAUUUGACGGUGUCCCACCCCCCUAGAGGAGCCUGUUCUAUAAUCGAUGAUCCCCGCUAUACCCCACCACCCCUUGCUCGUCAGUCUGUAUACCUCCGUCGAAAGCUUACCAUGUGAACGUCUAUAGUAAGUUCAAUGACCCAUGCCAAUGCGUCAACACGUCAGGUCAAGGUGCAGCUUAAGAGGUGGAAAGUGAUGGGCUACAAUUUCUAAUCUAGAACAAACGAAAGGCCAUGUGAAAUCGUGGCCACGAAGGCGGAUUUAGUAGUAAAAAGAAAAUAGAGAUUAUACCAAACAAACCCACAAGCUUAAG
rnacentral:rRNA from 3 species